UAAUCAUAUAUUGUAUAUUAUUGUAGAUGUCGACUGACACAUACCACGAGAGAAACACAACGACCACUGACUACCUCGAGUCUCUUCCAAGAUGAAUGGCUCUAAGUCACACUGUGUCAUCCUGCUGACAGUCUAAAUGCAAAUUGAAAGUGAAAUCUUGUAUUACGAAUCGUGAUACAUUUAGUAAGCUCUAAUUUAGCGCCAAGCCCACGACCUGGUACGUCAUGACCCUUAGUAACUUUCUAGCAAGGAGAAAAUGUGGCAAAGAUCAGAAUUUGGUGACAUUAGGGAAAGUUUGCUUUUAAAAAAAAAGUGGUUCUUUUAGUCAAGUGAUUUUCUAAUUUUUUUUUUUUUCAUACGUGCCUUGUUGUGCCUUUGUGGAUAAUCCCACAUCAUUAUUCACUUAGCUGUCUGAGCUUCUCUCACUCCUCCUUCUGAGACUGCAAGGGCACCUCAGCGUACGAAAAUGGGUGGCAUAAAUUAACGGGGGAGGAAAAAUCAUGCAAAUCCGGCAAAGAUGGAUCGUUACUUUGAGUUGGUGAGGAUUUGGGAAGGUGACAGAUCUGCUUUAAUAUGGAAAAAUAUUCCUAUAUCUCCAUAUGGCUUACUAAAAUAGCACCAGAUUGAGCUAUCAAUGUGGAGGACUGUUUGUUAUACAAUUUGCAAACAGGAGAAAUGAGAAAUCUUUCCAGGGCGUGCUAUGAUAUAUAUCCAAUAUAAAUCUGUGAAUUAUGUAGAAGGUAG